UCGGCCACCGUGACCCGUACCCAUAGCGACCCCA
rnacentral:rRNA from 1 species